rnacentral:tRNA from 1 species
UUCCCCUGUUCGCCGCCAGGGCGGGUAACCACGACUUUAUCGGCGUUGAUCUUAAUCGUGCCCUGGGUCAUCACCA